UUAACAGAUAGAUACACAACCUGCUUUGCUUCUACGUUCUUCGUUUUUUAUUUCUAUGUAUCGACCGUUUCGAAUCGAAUUAUUCGGUGUUAUUUCAGGUGAAAACUAUUUUGAAGAAACAUCAAUCGGUUCACUUUCACGAAACAUGGACAGAGAAUCGCGUAAACAGGAGAAUAAGCAAAUGACAGAUCACCAAUUGAUGACUGGACUGGCGAUCGUCUGUCCAGUAAUCAUAGAUUCACGAUAGCGCAUGCGCGUUAAGUGAUCGGACGUUUAACCCCUUCUUUGUUGCUUGCAAUCUAUACAUGCACGAAAUAUCGUAUACACGACUACAUUAUGUAUCGUACACUUGCCAUUCACCGUACCACGAUAAGAUAGCACUUGGUUUGGACAGAGAAACUUCAAACUUGUGGCAACAUGCCUAUCCUCCACCACCUGAUAUACCCUCUACAAACAAUUGUACCUAAGAUUGGGGCCCCCUCGCACACAUGCGGUCAUACCAUGAGGACAGUGCCUAGUGUGGUAAGGUGCAGCAUGCUGCCACAUGCAGUGUGUAAUAAUAAUAAUAUAAUCUAUAAUAUUAUACACCGCGAGGGUGACGCUUAAGAUGUUAAUUAUGAGAAUCCGCCAUCUUGUUAUGCACGCUAUAGCUAAUUUGAACCACUAAGCCUGCGCAAUUUGUUACGAGCGAACUGCCAAUAAUUGAAUCAUUGUCUCCACAACAGAGUUCAUAUUCACAGAUCGGCACAAGGAAGAAAUACAAUAAAGUAGCUCGACGCAGCUGUCCAGUUGCUUACGUCUAUUAUAUCGUGUAGAAGGGAAUCUUAGAAGUUCUACGAAACGCUUUUUAAGGAAUUUUAUUAUUUACUGUACACAGCAGGAAAUAUUUACUGUGCAGCUGCAGCCGUUGGCGCAGAGGUUGUGGCUUUAGCCUGUUCUUCGCGAACACGGUCUUUCUUAAGUUGGCCCAUGAAAGAAGCUUUGUCAGCAGCGGUCUGGAAACGACCAUGUCCAAAUUUGGAGCUGGUGUCGAUGAAUUUAAGAUUGAUCUUCUCCAAUGCGGAUCGCUUAGUAUGCACCAACAAUGACUGUAACAAUAUACUCCUUUAAUUAUA